GACGAACGCUGGCGGCGUGCUUAACACAUGCAAGUCGAACGCUGAAGCCCGCUUGCGGGUGGAUGAGUGGCGAACGGGUGAGUAACACGUGAGUAACCUGCCCUUCACUUUGGGAUAACCUUCGGAAACGGGGGCUAAUACUGGAUAUGACUCAUGGCCGCAUGGUUGUGGGUGGAAAGAUUCUUUGGUGGGGAUGGGCUCGCGGCCUAUCAGCUUGUUGGUGGGGUGAUGGCCUACCAAGGCGACGACGGGUAGCCGGCCUGAGAGGGCGACCGGCCACACUGGGACUGAGACACGGGCCCA
rnacentral:rRNA from 1 species